GUCAAGUCAGCAUGACCCUUAUGUCCUGGGCGACACACACGCUACAAUGGCCGGUACAAAGGGCAGCCAAGCGGUAACGCGGAGCCAAUCCCAGAAAGCCGGUCUCAGUACGGAUUGGAGUCUGCAACUCGACUCCAUGAAGUCGGAAUCGCUAGUAAUCGCAGAUCAGCAUUGCUGCGGUGAAUACGUUCCCGGGUCUU
rnacentral:rRNA from 1 species